rnacentral:rRNA from 1 species
CAAAAACAUAGCCACGUGGAUUUACUCGUGGUGUUUUCUGCUCAAUGAAUUUUUAAAUAGCCGCAGUACCCUGACUGUGCAAAGGUAGCGUAAUCACUUGUCUUUUAAUUGAAGUCGCGUAUGAAAGAAUAUAUGGGGGUCUACUUUACCAGUAAUAGACUGUGAAAUUACUAAGUGAGUGCCAAUUCUCACACAUAUUAAAUAGACGAGAAGACCCUAGAAAUUUUCACAUUUGUUUUUGUUGGGGCAACAUAGUAUCAAGUAAUUUACUAUAUGUAUAUGAAAUAUAUUUGGCAGACUAAAUUACUCUAGGGAUAACAGCAUAAUUAAUUACCGUUUGUGACCUCGAUGUUGGAUUAGGAAAUUAUAACCUAAAAGGCGGGUGAUUUUGCUCUGUUCGA